ACGGGAGGCAGCAGUGGGGAAUAUUGCACAAUGGGCGCAAGCCUGAUGCAGCGACGCCGCGUGAGUGAAGAAGUAUUUCGGUAUGUAAAGCUCUAUCAGCAGGGAAGAAAAUGACGGUACCUGACUAAGAAGCCCCGGCUAACUACGUGCCAGCAGCCGCGGUAAUACGUAGGGGGCAAGCGUUAUCCGGAUUUACUGGGUGUAAAGGGAGCGUAGACGGCAAGGCAAGUCUGAUGUGAAAGGCAGGGGCUCAACUCCUGGACUGCAUUGGAAACUGUCUGGCUGGAGUACCGGAGGGGUAAGCGGAAUUCCUAGUGUAGCGGUGAAAUGCGUAGAUAUUAGGAGGAACACCAGUGGCGAAGGCGGCUUACUGGACUGUAACUGACGUUGAGGCUCGAAAGCGUGGGGAGCAAACAGGAUUAGAUACCCUGGUA
rnacentral:rRNA from 2 species